rnacentral:rRNA from 1 species
UCCUGUAGAGUGGGAUAACAGUAAGAAAUUACUGCUAAUACCGCAUGGUUUGAAGGAAUUUGGAAGUACUUCAAUAAUGAUGGCCUCUUUGCAAUGCUAUCACUAUAGGAAGGGCCUGCGGCCCAUUAGCUUGAUGGUGGGGUAAUGGCCUACCAUGGCUUUGAUGGGUAGCCGGUCUGAGAGGAUGAUCGGCCACACUGGAACUGAGACACGGUCCAG